AGAGCGAACGCUGGCGGCAUGCUUAACACAUGCAAGUCGCACGGUUUGGGGGCAACUCCAGGCAGUGGCGGACGGGUGAGUAACGCGUAGGCAUCUAUCCAAGGGUGGGGGACAACCACGGGAAACUGUGGCUAAUACCGCAUGACGACUUUGGCCGAGAGGUUGAGGUCCAAAGGCCGUGAGGUCGCCUAUGGAGGAGCCUGCGUCCGAUUAGCUUGUUGGUGGGUAAAGGCCUACCAAGGCGACGAUCGGUAGCUGGUCUGAGAGGAUGAUCAGCCACAUUGGGACUGAGACACGGCCCAAACUCCUACGGGAGGCAGCAGUGGGGAAUAUUGGACAAUGGGCGCAAGCCUGAUCCAGCAAUGCCGCGUGUGUGAAGAAGGUCUUCGGAUUGUAAAGCACUUUCGACGGGGACGAUGAUGACGGUACCCGUAGAAGAAGCCCCGGCUAACUUCGUGCCAGCAGCCGC
rnacentral:rRNA from 1 species